CAAUAAGCGGAGGAAAAGAAACCAACAGGGAUUGCCCUAGUAACGGCGAGUGAAGCGGCAACAGCUCAAAUUUGAAAUCUGGCUACUUUGUAGUCCGAGUUGUAAUUUGUAGAGGAUGCUUUUGGUGAGGUGCUUUCUGAGUUCCCUGGAACGGGACGCCAGAGAGGGUGAGAGCCCCGUACAGUUAGCAACUGAUCCUUUGUAUAGCUCCUUCGACGAGUCGAGUAGUUUGGGAAUGCUGCUCUAAAUGGGAGGUAUAUCUCUUCUAAAGCUAAAUAUAGGCUAGAGACCGAUAGCGCACAAGUAGAGUGAUCGAAAGAUGAAAAGCACUUUGAAAAGAGAGUUAAACAGCACGUGAAAUUGUUGAAAGGGAAGCGCCUAUGACCAGACUUGUUUCUAUCAGUUUUGGUAGUUUUCGGACUGCUUUACUCUGUUAGUACAGGCCAACAUCAGUUUGUUGUCGGGGAGAAAGGCUUAGGGAAUGUGGCUCCCUCGGGAGUGUUAUAGACCUUUGCAUAAUACCCUUCGGCAGACUGAGGACCGCGCUUCGGCAAGGAUGUUGGCGUAAUGG
rnacentral:rRNA from 2 species